CAAAUUGAACACAAUUAUGCAGCAAGCUGAGAGCUUCAAGGAAGUGUUUGUUGAGCUUUGGAGAAACCUUAACCAAACCCAAUUGAUGAGUUUUUUUAAUUAAUUAACAAUCUCAACCGUAAAUCUAAUCUAAGGGUUAUUAAAUUCUUCUCUCAUCUCUCAUUAUAAGACAUUGCUCUCACU